GACGGAGGAUGCAAGCGUUAUCCGGAAUGAUUGGGCGUAAAGCGUCCGCAGGUGGCAGUUCAAGUCUGCUGUCAAAGACCGGGGCUUAACUUCGGAAAGGCAGUGGAAACUGAACAGCUAGAGUAUGGUAGGGGCAGAGGGAAUUCCUGGUGUAGCGGUGAAAUGCGUAGAGAUCAGGAAGAACAUCGGUGGCGAAGGCGCUCUGCUGGACCAGAACUGACACUCAGGGACGAAAGCUAGGGGAGCGAAUGGG
rnacentral:rRNA from 1 species